rnacentral:rRNA from 1 species
AACGAACGCUGGCGGCGCGCCUAAUACAUGCAAGUCGAGCGAGAAGACGUAGCAAUACGUUUGUAAAGCGGCGAACGGGUGAGGAAUACAUGGGUAACCUACCCUCGAGUGGGGAAUAACUAGCCGAAAGGUUAGCUAAUACCGCGUACGCUCCUUGGACUUCGGUUCAGGGAGGAAAGCGAUACCGUGGGUAUCGCGCUCUUGGAUGGGCUCAUGUCCUAUCAGCUUGUUGGUGAGGUAACGGCUCACCAAGGCUUCGACGGGUAGCUGGUCUGAGAGGACGAUCAGCCACACUGGCACUGCGACACGGGCCAGACUCCUACGGGAGGCAGCAGUAAGGAAUAUUGCGCAAUGGGCGAAAGCCUGACGCAGCGACGCC